rnacentral:rRNA from 1 species
AGCGAACGCUGGCGGCAGGCUUAACACAUGCAAGUCGAGCGGGCAUCUUCGGAUGUCAGCGGCAGACGGGUGCGUAACCCGUGGGAACGUACCCUUCGGUUCGGAACAACUCUGGGAAACUGGAGCUAAUACCGGAUACGCCCUUAUGGGGAAAGGUUUACUGCCGAAGGAUCGGCCCGCGUCUGAUUAGCUGGGUGGUGGGGUAACGGCCUACCCAGGCGACGAUCAGUAGCUGGUCUGAGAGGAUGAUCAGCCACACUGGGACUGAGACACGGCCCAGACUCCUACGGGAGGGAGCAGUGGGGAAUAUUGGACAAUGGGCGCAAGCCUGAUCCAGCCAUGCCGCGUGAGUGAUGAAGGCCUUAGGGUUGUAAAGCUCUUUUGUCCGGGACGAUAAUGACGGUACCGGAAGAAUAAGCCCCGGCUAACUUCGUG